UACCUGGUUGAUCCUGCCAGUAGUCAUAUGCUUGUCUCAAAGAUUAAGCCAUGCAAGUCUAAGUACGAGCUCUCGUACAGUGAAACUGCGAAUGGCUCAUUAAAUCAGUUAUGGUUCAUUUGAUCGUACAGUUUACUUGGAUAACUGUGGUAAUUCUAGAGCUAAUACAUG
rnacentral:ncRNA from 1 species